rnacentral:rRNA from 1 species
AACGAACGCUGGCGGCAUGCCUAACACAUGCAAGUCGAACGAAGUCUUCGGACUUAGUGGCGCACGGGUGCGUAACGCGUGGGAAUCUGCCCUUGGGUGCGGAAUAACUUCUCGAAAGGGAUGCUAAUACCGCAUAAUGUCGUAAGACCAAAGAUUUAUCGCCCAAGGAUGAGCCCGCGUAAGAUUAGCUAGUUGGUGGGGUAAAAGCCUACCAAGGCGACGAUCUUUAGCUGGUCUGAGAGGAUGAUCAGCCACACUGGGACUGAGACACGGCCCAGACUCCUACGGGAGGCAGCAGUGGGGGAAUAUUGGACAAUGGGCGAAAGCCUGAUCCAGCAAUGCCGCGUGAGUGAUGAAGGCCCUAGGGUUGUAAAGCUCUUUUACCAGGGAUGAUAAUGACAGUACCUGGAGAAUAAGCUCCGGCUAACUCCGUGCCAGCAGCCGCGGUAAU